AAUUGCUAGUAAUGGCAGGUCAGCAUACUGCCGUGAAUACGCUCCCGGGCCUUGUACACACCGCCCGUCACACCAUGAGAGUUGGAAAUACCCGAAGCCUGUGAGCUAACUUAAAGAGGCAGCAGUCGAAGGUAGAGCCAAUGAUUGGGGUGAAGUCGUAACAAGGUACC
rnacentral:rRNA from 1 species